UUUUUUUGUUUGUUUGUUUUUUGUUUUGAGACGCAGUCUCGCUCUGUCGCCCAGGCUGGAGUGCAGUGGCGCGAUCUCGGCUCACUGCAACCUCCGUCUCCCAGGUUCAAGCGAUUCUCCUGCCUCAGCCUCCUGAGUAGCUGGGAUUACAGGAGAAUGGCGUGAACCUGGGAGGCGGAGCUCGCAGUGAGCCAAGAUAGAGCCACUGUACUCCAGCCUGGGUGACAGAGCGAGACGCUGUCUCAAAAAAAAAAAAAAAAAAAAAAGAAUAUCAAUCCAAGAUUUUUAUUAAGUUAAAAUGAAGGAACUAAAAAUAGGUAAAUGAAAAUGUUAUAACACUUUAGUGCUAUUUAUGAGUAUGAACAAAGGAAUUUAAUCACUUUGAAUCCCAAUUACAGAUGAAUCUUUUAUUUCAUGGGUGCUGGGUAUGUGGUCUUUUUAAGACAAAAAUUCUACAGCAUGGUUUUACUAAGUCAGAUUGAGUAGGUCGCAUCUCUGUGUGCCACACAGAACUUUUAGACAAGAGUAGAGGGGAAAAGGUUCUGCAAUUCCUCACAGUAAAGUACUCACACAGUAAAUCCUUAACGAAAACUACUGAACUGUGAGUAUAUGCUUUAUAAUCUUAUGCACAGAAAUGUAUCUAUUAGUACAGAAAGUUGGAAAACAUCAAGAUUAAAAACAGUGCUGUAGGAAAAAUUCACAACAGUAAACAAAUUUUGCUCACUCAUUUUCCUACAAAUCUUCAGUUUAUUAAUUCAAGAGAAACUAUAUUAGGAAUAUUCGGCUGAUACCCCUAUUUCACCACCUCAUCUAAGCUACACUGUAUUAUACCAAGAAUGGUGGCAAUUUUUUCCCCAUCUAUACAGGCACUGCCAUCUAGUGGCAAGUUUUCACCAGCAAUUUUAAAAGAUAGUGGCCCAACUCUGGUAACAAAUAGUGGACACUGAUGGUUUGUCAAAUAAGCAAAUGCAUUUAUUUGAUACACAAAUUCCAUGCCACCAGUCAAACUAUGGUCUGGCUUUUUUUUUUAACCAACAGUAAAGAAAACUUUUUGGGUUUUUUUGUUUCUUUUUUGAGAUGGAGUCUCACCCUUGCCACCCAGGCAGUAGUAGCACGAUCUCG
rnacentral:lncRNA from 10 species